rnacentral:tRNA from 1 species
GGGGAUUUAGCUCAGUGGUAGAGUGCUUGCCUAGCAAGCAUAAGGCCCUGGGUUCAGUCCUCA